rnacentral:tRNA from 1 species
GGGAAGCUGGUUCAGUGGUAGAGUGCUUGCCUUGCAUGCAUGAGGCCCCUAGGUUCAAUUCCUCAGCACCUCA